rnacentral:rRNA from 1 species
CAGGUCUUGACAUCCCGAUGUAACACCUAGAGAUAGGUGUCCUCUUCGGAGCAUUGGAGACAGGUGGUGCAUGGUUGUCGUCAGCUCGUGUCGUGAGAUGUUGGGUUAAGUCCCGCAACGAGCGCAACCCUUGAUCUUAGUUGCCAGCACUUUGGGUGGGCACUCUAGGAUGACUGCCGGUGACAAACCGGAGGAAGGUGGGGAUGACGUCAAAUCAUCAUGCCCCUUAUGACCUGGGCUACACACGUACUACAAUGGUCGGUACAACGGGAAGCGAAGCCGCGAGGUGGAGCCAAUCCUUAUAAGCCGAUCUCAGUUCGGAUUGCAGGCUGCAACUCGCCUGCAUGAAGUCGGAAUUGCUAGUAAUCGCGGAUCAGCAUGCCGCGGUGAAUACGUUCCCGGGUCUUGUACACACCGCCCGUCACACCACGAGAGUUUACAACACCCGAAGUCGGUGGGGUAACCCGCAAGGGAGCCAGCCGCCGAAGGUGGGGUAGAUGAUUGGGGUG